rnacentral:lncRNA from 1 species
GGCAACUCUGUGCUCAUCUGCCCCAUCAGGGGCCUCUAGGGGCUUGGGAACUUUCUGGAGGAGGCUCCUUUCCUGACAGUGGGGACUUUGCCUCCACCUUUUAGAUUAGGAGACUUGUCACCCAUGAUGUCUUCCUUGGACUGGGAGAUCCUUGAAGAUAGGACGUGUGCCCCUGUCUCCCAAUCCCACCUUUCAGAUGCUCUGGGAAAAAGGACUUUUAUCUUCAGGUGUGAAGUCGAGGAGGCCUCUGGAAGUCUGUGAUCAGUCGGUGACUAUGGCAGGGUCUGAACAGUACUGAUAGCCUUUGGAUUCAAACAACCCCAUCCCCUCACCUUCCCCUUUCCUGGAUGUCCAUUCAUUUCCAGGACCCUGUGCCCAUGUGCAGAUCAGCCCAACGCUGGUGCUUUUAGAAGCGCAGAGGUCACCCCAACUGUCCCGCGCCUCAAUGGCAGAUAGGGUAUACAGAAAGGAUAUCUCUUUUUUUAAAAGCACAGCCUCACCCCCUUUAGCCUGAGCUCUCCUUAGUGCAUUAUCCCCACACUACCUUAUUAUCAACUUUUUUGCUACAUUUCAAAUCCCUAAGUGCCCCUCAGAAUCCUGUGUUGGAACUUGCCCCGUUCCUCUGUCAAGAGGGAGGGCUCCUCCCGCUGGUUGGUAUUUCUAAACUGCAGCCCUUCCCUUGGGCUCUUUCCCACUUUCCCCCACCUCUUGCCCACCUGGCAGCUCUCAGUGAGUGAUUAAUGGUGUUGUCUCUCCUUAGGUUGCUAGAGGGGAGAAGGUGAUGAUGCUGAAGGUGGGGGCCUGGGUUUGGGGGUGGGUGGGCUUGACUCUUUGGAGGGGCCUGAGAUCCUUUGUAAUACCUUGGAUUUCAUGCAUGGACCCCUGUGUGGGCAAUCAAGUAAGCUUUUAAUUAAAAGGAAAGAUUUUGAAAGGACUGGCCCCCAACACUGAUGUCGUGGUGUGAGAAGAAUUCUUAAACAAGACAUAAGAAGAAUUUACCACAACAUUUAUUAGAUUAAAAUAAAGAAUUUCUGUUUAUUAGACAUCUUAAAGAUAAGUUGCAUACUGGGAGAAGAUACUCAGUGACAUGUAAUUUGCAAGAGAUUAAUUUCAAGACAAUAUAUGUAUAAUUCCUACCAUUCAAUAAAGGGAGAACAAACAACUCAAGAGAAAAAUAGGUAAGUCACAGGAAUAGGGGUUUCACAGAAAAAGAAAUAUAUAUAUGGCUAAUAUACACAUGAAGAGAUAUUCAACUUUUUAGUUAUCAAGGAAAAAUAAAUUAAGACAACAGUGAGUUAACAAUUAUCUGUAUAAUCGGUAAAAAUUACAAAGUUUGUUAAUAUAGGGAAUUGGAAAAGAUGUAGACAUUUGUUCAUUUAUUCAAUAAAAAUUCAUUCAACCCUACUUGGCGCUUGGUCCUGUUUUAGGUGUCCAGGCUAUACCAGUAAACAAAAAGAUAAAAAUGCCAGUUCUUGUGGUGGCUUACGUUCUUCUGGGAGGAGAUGGACAGUAAGAAAUAAAUGUAAUGUAAGGGAGAUAGGAAGGUAAGGACAAUUGAGCAUGAUGGUGGG